CGUCCGGCCCGUCCCAACUAUUCCCCAUCCCCAAACCUACGGGAGGCGAGCAGGCGGCGGCGGCGGCUGCCUGUAGCGAUCGGAGGCGGCGACGCUUAUUGCGAGCCGAAGAGGUGCGACGCGAGCAGGCGACGACGACGCAGUGAGCUGGGAGGCAGCGACAAGCCGACGACUGCAGCAGGCGGAGGCGUCGGAGGCUCGGAGCGUCACGGUGAUGCAAAGCAGCCGGUGGCGGCUGAAGCGAGCGAAGGCGGCGUGGCCGCUUCAACGAGCAGCUGAUGGUUGGAGGUGAGCUGGUUUCUGCAUUCUUAGUCGAUCUGCACGCGGACUACUGCGAGAAAUCAAGUUUGAGUGGCCAAUUAGUUUGCCACUACUGCUACUUUCAAAAUUAUGUCACAAAAAAUCUGUCUGCUAGAGAGGAAUGAUGUUGCUCCACUGGCAUAGGAAGCACCCUAAAGCAGAUCGGAUCCCAUGUAAUCAGAGGAAUUGCGGGGUGAUAGUAAGCUCUCCCCGUGAGUUAGAGCUACACGUCCACUUCUCCCACGUCCAGCCUGCGGGUUGGUGGGUAGAGUGAUCAACUGAAAGUUCGGCAUGUUUUUGGAUUGGUUCCUUGCUAACUAUUGGAUUAGUUCCUUGCUUACUAUUCUUAUGUUAACACCGAUAUCUGUAACCCCUUAAUCAUAAUAUCAUAAUUUGAUUUGAUUGCGUACUCUAAA